GACGAACGCUGGCGGCGUGCUUAACACAUGCAAGUCGAACGGAAAGGCCCUGCUUUUGUGGGGUGCUCGAGUGGCGAACGGGUGAGUAACACGUGAGUAACCUGCCCUUGACUUUGGGAUAACUUCAGGAAACUGGGGCUAAUACCGGAUAGGAGCUCCUGCUGCAUGGUGGGGGUUGGAAAGUUUCGGCGGUUGGGGAUGGACUCGCGGCUUAUCAGCUUGUUGGUGGGGUAGUGGCUUACCAAGGCUUUGACGGGUAGCCGGCCUGAGAGGGUGACCGGCCACAUUGGGACUGAGAUACGGCCCAGACUCCUACGGGAGGCAGCAGUGGGGAAGAUUGCACAAUGGGCGGAAGCCUGAUGCAGCAACGCCGCGUGCGGGAGGACGGCCUUCGGGUGGUAAACCGCUUUCGCCUGUGACGAAGCGUGAGUGACGGUAAUGGGUAAAGAAGCACCGGCUAACUACGU
rnacentral:rRNA from 1 species